GUAAGCGCGCAAUAGAAAGCCCUCAGCCCCCAAAUUCAUAUCGCCAAAGCAAGCCUCAGUUUUUUCCACCUUCAAUCAUAGGUGCUUCGGUGUUAAAUCGCCGGUCUCUAUCUUCAGUCUCUUUAGGAUUACCAAAAUCUCAGGUUAAAGCGGAAUUUGUCCCCUUUUCAUGUAAGGUACUUUUUCUUUGAUUUUUUCCUUGUCAACUGAGGAUGCGGCUGGGUAUGGCUUGGCCAAAGUAUGUCGAUCGAUCUGUUGCCUCAACUUGGUACUUGAAAUGGCAAUCUGAAGCUGAAAUGAGUUUCAGAUCAAGAAAAACAGAUGAAUUGCAGUGGUAUCUUUGGUUCUUAAUUAGAACUGCAAUAUAUGGCUAUGUAUUGUAUUAUGUGAUACGCUUUAUGAAGAGGAAAAUUCCACGGCUUCUUGGUUAUGAACCUUUAAGGAGAAACCCCAACUUAUGGAAGCUGCAGAGAAUGGAGCUUUGUCUUUUUCCCCCUAGUGAUUGAUCCAGAAUAAAUCAUCAAUGGUUAGUGACUAUUUUCUGCACCUAGCAGUUGUCUUAGCUCAACUUUGAGUCAUAUUUUACUAUAUUUUAGAAGUGAGAGUUUGGGGGGAUGAACAUGGGUACGAACUUAUGGGUAAUAGAUCUUAUGUUGUGAUAUUCAUUGUGCUCCAAGGAGUCCAACUGGCAAACACAUGGUGGAAGAAUUGGUAUUCAUAGUGCUCUACUUCUAAGGUUUGUUCCCUGUGUUUGGAGGUAAUUACUUCUCUCUUUUUCUGUUUAAUUUUUUAUAUCUGUUACGGUGUGACCGUCUUAUGCAAUGCCCAAGCGCAGAAAAGUAUGUGCUCUAACUCCUCUAUAAAAUGCUAAUGGAUGCCAGUUUGGGUUCUUUUUUCUUCCAAUGGCCUUACUCUUCCUUUUGUAGUUUUAUGUCUAAUUUUUCCAGAGAACUUAAAUAUUAAAGCUUCCAGAGAAUAAACAAUCUUAAGUACUUAGGUAGAUGCAUGUUAUUCCUGAGAUUAUUUUCUUUCGAUCGAUGAACUUGGGUUUAUGUAUUUUUGUUCUGCAAGUACUCUCUGUGUGUGUAUAUUUUCUUUCGGUUGAUGAACUUGGGUUCAUUGUGUGUAUUGUACUGAAAGUUUCUAUCAUAAAACAUCUUCAGCCACAAAGAUUCUCAAAGAGGACAAAAACAUCAACAGAAGCUGCUAUACUGAAGCCGACGACUUUAAAGAGGAUUUACUGAGCCUGAUAUUUCUGCAUUGGGUAGUGCGACAAUGACUCUAUGAUCAUAUGAUGAUAACAGUCACACACAUACAUUUGAAGAUAUUUUAGGCUUAAUUAGACAAUAAGACUGAACAUGGCACAGUUGACGUACGAACUUAUUCAUUGUGUUCUAAGCUGCCUGUACAUGACUAGAUAGUAGCUAUACAAUGCUAAUGAUAUCCCUUUAGUUAGCGGUAUAUAUCCUUGACAGUGGCUUGACAUAUUUUUUUUUUCAUGUUGUUCCAUAAAUUAAUGUUUUAAUCCGAGCACUGCACUUUUUGAAGAUAUUAACCGCUUUAUGAAAAUAGGGGAAUCUCAAGAAAAUAUCAACUUUGUGGUCAAUUUUAUCUUAUGGGAUUUUAUCGUUCUAGGUUUAACUUUUGGGGCUAUUCUACUGUCAAUUUCUUUUCUCCAAUGGGAAGGUACUCAUCUGCUAGUCUAAGUAAUUGUGGCCUCUGCGCAAUAAACGAGUUUAAGUAUCUUGUUAAGGAAGCACAUAAAUGUGGAAUCGAGGUGACUAAUUACUGGAGAAAACUAUGGGUUUGUUCUCCAAAAUUUGGUAUAUUCUCUUCUGACUGUUCAUUGGCAGGUUAUCAUGGAUGUUGUUUUCAAUCACACUGCCGAAGGAAAUGAAAAUGGUCCCAUUGUAUCAUUUAGAGGAAUUGACAACAGUGUAUUUUAUAUGCUAGCUCCUAAGGGAGAAUUCUACAACUACUCAGGAUGUGGAAACACCUUCAACUUAAUCAUCCCAUUGUAUGACAAUUUAUAGUGGAUUGCUUGAGGUCACACUCUGAUUUUCAAUAGUUCAGCGGGUAGAAGAUUUGAAUAUGAUUAAAAGUUGCGGAAAUUAUUUGAAGACUAUCAUUCCUCAAGAUUAGUUAUAUAAUAGCAUUAGCUAUUCAAUUCAAACAAGAUAAGUUUAUUUUUUAAGUUAAUGUGACAUUGAUUUUUUUAUUAGUACUUCUGUUUGUUUUUUAAGAAUUAGUAAGAUAUAUUAUAUUUUUUAAUUAAUAUUA